GGCAGGUCUGUUGUCUCGAGCUGGGUGGUCAGAGGGUGGGUGCAGCAAUCAGUUCCUAGUCUAGGGAGAGAUGCUUAGCCUUAAGGAAAUGCCAGUGUAGGGGAAGCUGCAUCUUUACCUUAAGGGCAUUUGUUCUUGUCUGUGGACACAGGAAAUGCUUAAAGCAGAUGUACAAUGCAUGUGCAACGGCCACUCUGGAAAAAGCAAGGUCAGGCCAAAUUAGAUUUAUACCAAACAGCUUCCUCAUAUACUGCAAUAUCCUAUGGCUUGCCAUUUGUUUAUCAGUCUUAAUGUGUUUAUCUUACUAGAUUAUAGUAACUGUAAGAACUGGAGCCCUCACCAGUACAUUUUUGAACGGUGUAACCUGGAUUUCUCAGAGCCUGUUUAAAGUCUGUGCACACAGACGGAGGGCUUUGUAGUGUCUGCUCGAUGUUUUGUUCACCUUGAUUGCUUUUUCUGAAGGCCUGGAUUUCAGGGUCUUUGGGUACCUCCUAAUUGGAUGGUUUUCAGGUAUAGCAAAAGGCCAAGGGACCUAGCCCAUCUAUUAAACUUCCAGAAAGGCAAUAACAACUGUUUGUCUUUAUCAACUUUAAAAUAGCCAGUUAUUUUACUGACAAAUGAGUUUAUUUGGAAAUAACAAAGCAAUUGUAAUUCAGGAUGUGCAAACUAUGGUGAAACACAGGCAAGUCCAGAGAACAAAGGAGGGGCGCUUGCUUUUAUAGAGAAAAAGGGGGAGUUGUGAGGGGCUGUUGUAAAUGAAAGCUCUUUGGGGAGGAGUAAGAGUUCAGGGUGGUUUUGGCUCCUCAGCAGGGUGGCUUUGGCAUCUUCCAUUGGCUGGGGUUGUUGCUGGGCAAGAAGAAAAUCUUCCUUUUUCCUCCUGGGGUAGUAUAGCAGCAACUUCCUGUUGAAGAUGCGAGUGGGCAGGGCAGACCCUGGGCUAACAGGCCAGAGGAAGAACUCCAAUGCCUUCUGUCAGCAUCUGUGUCAGCAGGCCUGCACUGGGUCAAAAUAAUGGUUGCUCCCAAUGUCUCAGUCCUGGAGAAGUCUUGCAUCUCACCAAGAUGCACCCAGAGCCUAUCUGGUGAGUCCUUUCACCAAAGGACCUUCCAGCUUUCUUUAUGGUGAUUUUAGAUUGCUUUCCAAAACAGGUCAACAGUUACAUAAAAUGGAAUGUUAUCCCGUCUUAAAAAAAGAAAAUUCUGGGGCU